CAAGCAGCGGAGCGUGUGGUUUAAUUCGAUGCUACACGAAGAACCUUACCAGGGUUUGACAUGCAAGUGGUAGGAAACCGAAAGGUGACCGACCCUUCGGGAGCUUGCACAGGUGCUGCAUGGCUGUCGUCAGCUCGUGUCGUGAGAUGUUCGGUUAAGUCCGCUAACGAGCGCAACCCUCGCUGUGUGUUAUAUGUGUCACACGGGACUGCCGGUCUUAAGCCGGAGGAAGGUGGGGAUGAUGUCAAGUCAGCAUGGCCUUUAUAUCCUGGGCUACACACACGCUACAAUGGCCAGCACAGUAGGUUGCUAAGCCGCGAGGUGGAGCCAAUCCAUAAAGCUGGUCUCAGUUCAGAUUGCAGGCUGCAACCCGCCUGCAUGAAGAUGGAGUUGCUAGUAACCGCAGGUCAGCUAUACUGCGGUGAAUACGUUCCCGGGGCUU
rnacentral:rRNA from 1 species